UACGAAGGGGGCUAGCGUUGCUCGGAAUCACUGGGCGUAAAGCGCACGUAGGCGGAUUUUUAAGUCAGGGGUGAAAUCCUGGAGCUCAACUCCAGAACUGCCUUUGAUACUGUUAGUCUUGAAUGCAGAUGAUGUGGGCGGAAUAUGACAUGUAGUGGUGAAAUACUUAGAUAUGUCAUAGAACACCGAUUGCGAAGGCAGCUCACAAAACUGUGAUUGACGCUGAUGCACGAAAGCGUGGGGAUCAAACAGG
rnacentral:rRNA from 1 species